GGCGAGGAUGGAGACAAUGUGCUCCCUGCAGCAUGUCUUUCCAGAAACCCAAAGAGGGAGCAUUCUCUCAAAAUUCCCAAGACCCUGGAAAAUGCAGGUCCUCAGGAGGCAUGUGAAAUGAAAGAAAAAGUCCCAGCAAAGGACUAUGUGGAUUUAAGGAUGGUGAUAAUCAGAGCUCAGUAUGAGAAGAAGCACCACUUUCUUUUUUUUCGGUACCUUGGAUCGAACUCGGGUCCUUGCGAUGCAAGGCAGGCCACCGAACCGCUGAGCUAAAUCCCCGGCCCGCACCACUUUCUUGAUGAGUAUGAAUAACAGCAUCUGAAUACACUGGACAGACAAGCAGAGGAGAUUUUACACCAAC
rnacentral:lncRNA from 1 species